AGAAUGCCCAAUCUGAUCAAGACGUUGAAUUUCAACGACACAUUCCUGAAUUUUGAUCACUUGAAGGCAAGCUUUCCCCAGUACAUAGUUAAGUGUACCACAGAGGACAAGUCUCUUCAAGUUCCGCCCUUCAGGCUUGGCACUGAGUGCGAUUCUGCUUAUCAACACGGCAACUCCCCGAGCUCUCACAUGUAUACGUAAGUUUGUAGCGCACCGUCCUGUUAAAAAAACACUUGCACCCUUCACACGUGAAGACCCCGUAGUGCCGCCCGGAAGACGGUGCAGAGCACACGGCACACUCGAUGGUCUUGUCUGGGUUGUCGUACCAAUAAACUUCGUGCAUUUGCGACCACGAAGACAUUUUGUGUUCUGGGUCUGUGUCAAUGGGUGAGCAAGUUCGACAAGUGACUCGGUGACCGUUUCUACUGGCAUUGUGACAUUCAACCUAGGUGUCGUCCUAUUUAUUGCAGAGGGUAAUCUUGCACCGAUGUAUGAAUCUUUAAUUACUUUACAAUUGCACUGGGUAACGAGACAAAUGGUUUAGCACCCUUUUGUUAGGCAGCAAUCGUCGCCUAGGUCCGAGCAAAUGUUGCAAGGAAGACAACAGGCCCUUUUAAUCAUAACCUGAAGAUUUGCAUUCAAAAACAUUAUUAGUAAGGAAUUCUUUAGCCUUUUCUUCGACGAUUUUAAUGCAUUACAAAAACAGUAGGGUAAAAAAUCCUUACCUGAGCUGUUUGUAAGACUUUUGUUGUCUUACACGUGCAACUUUGCGGACCUAAUGCACCUUAGAGUGUUUAUGCAGAGGACCAAUACUCUAAAUGUCUUUUUAUACAAGCACGCUUUUAUGCGGGUCUUCUUGUAAAAAGGCACACGGCCAGUCGUGCGUAAAAACAACGGGUUCCCAAAAAGACAGAAGAAGGCAAGAUAAUAAAACUACACCGAUAUUGUUUAGACGAAGGGUGAGCAGUUUGCAACAAAACUAAUUGUAAAUCUUUUAAUGCACGCGCAGUUUUGAGAACAAGAGAAUGCGAUAUUUUUUAUAAAUCAAAAUAUGUUGACUAUACUUUGACUAUGACUUCAAUAGAUAGCCUUUUUUGGAACAAACACAAUGAGUA